rnacentral:rRNA from 1 species
GACGAACCGUGCGAACGUUAUUCGGAAUCACUGGGCUUAAAGCGCGUGUAGGCGGGCCGGCACGUCGGCCGCUGAAAUCCCCCGGCUCAACCGGGGAACGGGCGCCGAUACGACCGGCCUGGAGCGAGGUAGGGGGCGCCGGAACUCACGGUGGAGCGGUGAAAUGCGUUGAGAUCGUGAGGAACGCCCGUGGCGAAAGCGGGCGCUGGACCUCCGCUGACGCUGAGACGCGAAAGCCAGGGAGCGAAACGGG